rnacentral:rRNA from 1 species
AAUCAACGCUGGCGGCGUGCCUCAGACAUGCAAGUCGAACGCGAAAGUUUCCUUCGGGAGAUGAGUAGAGUGGCGCACGGGUGAGUAACACGUAGGUAAUUUGCCUUUGGGUGGGGAAUACCAACCGGAAACGGUUGUUAAUACCGCAUAAUGCAGCGGCAUCAUAAGAUGACAGUUGUUAAAGCGGGGGAUUCGUAAGAACCUCGCGCCUAAAGAGGAGCCUGCGGCGGAUUAGGUAGNGGUGAGGUAAUGGCUCACCAAGCCUGCGAUCCGUAACCGACCUGAGAGGGUGGUCGGUCACACUGACACUGACAUACGGGUCAGACUCCUACGGGAGGCAGCAGUCGGGAAUUUUGGGCAAUGGGCGCAAGCCUGACCCAGCAACGCCGCGUGAAGGAUGAAGCAUUUCGGUGUGUAAACUUCGCAANAACAGGAAGAAUAAGUGAAUACUAAUACCGUUCAUGAUGACGG